rnacentral:pre_miRNA from 1 species
CUUGUACUCUGGACAGGAUAUCAUCAUAUACUGUAAGUUCGUUAUAGAGACACUACAGUAUAGAUGAUGUACUAUCCAGGGUUUCAUCCUCCUUCUG